UACGAAGGGGGCUAGCGUUGUUCGGAAUCACUGGGCGUAAAGCGUAUGUAGGCGGAUUGUUAAGUCAGGGGUGAAAUCCCGAGGCUCAACCUCGGAACUGCCCUUGAUACUGGCUUUCUUGAGUUCGGGAGAGGUGAGUGGAACUCCUAGUGUAGAGGUGAAAUUCGUAGAUAUUAGGAAGAACACCAGUGGCGAAGGCGGCUCACUGGCCCGAUACUGACGCUGAUGUACGAAAGCGUGGGGAGCAAACAGG
rnacentral:rRNA from 1 species